CCAUUGGGUAAAGCUGUAAGGAUAAACAUGUAAUAUCUUGGAGACCUCAGGAUGUUGGAGAUGACAGACCAGUGGGAUCUCUGUCCAAGGAGAGCUAUGGAACAAGUGUGUAAUCAGCCCAAGACAGAAAUGUGUAUUACAGUCAGAAAAAUCUGGAAGGCGUUGGAGGUCUGAAGAGUGCCUUGACAUCAGACAUGGAGAUGCAGAAUUUGGAGUUUUCCCUACUGGAUUUUGGUCUUGCUUAGGAUUGGGGAUCUAUGUGGAAGAGGUGGAAGAAAAAAAUGUAAGAGCCAGAAGUGGUAGGAAACUCCAAGAACAGCAUUUUCCAGACAUAUGCAAAUGCACAUAUGAACUCGCAGAGACGGCUGGCAGUGCGCACAAGACCUGCACAAGCUGAAGCCAAACAAAAUUCCCCAUGGAGGAGGGAAAAGAAGCUAUGCUCAAGCGUGAAGAAAAAGGUCACCAGAAAGGAAAGCAUCUCAUCUUGGUUGCUCGCAAGCAGAAGCACUGCUGUCUAUUAUUUCUCACAAGUUUCUGCACCCGAGACUCCUUUUCCUAUGAAGUGACCUCCAGCCACGAAAACGCUCUCUUGCCUUUGGUCAGAGCUCUGGUCUCAGUGGUGCUGUGCCCAAACAAGCAUUUCCUCCUCUUGUGCUUGUGAGUUUUGAAUAUCCCAUGAGGCAGUCCCAGCUGCUGUGUCUGCAGACACCAUUACUGCUUUUGUUAAUUCUCUGGUUACAGAAUUACACUGGUUUUGAACAGUCUUCCCAA